AUAGAUUAUUUGCUUUGAAUGUAAUGAAUGGGACUUAAUUAUUUUUGUCUAAUUACAGGAGCAAUAUAUGCUCAACAAUGAAAAUAAAAUAAAAUGUUUAUGUUGACCUUGGGUGCAACAUAAAACGGGAUGGAAAAUAUUCGGGAAAAAACCCCACAGUUGAAAAUAACAAUACAACAAUUAAAAAAUAAUAUGAAUAAAAAGUACAGUGUAACAACUGUUUACAUAGCAUUUACAGUGUAUUAGGUAUUGUAAGCAAUCUAGAGAUGAUUUAAAGCAUAUAGGAGGAUGUGUGUAGGUUAUAUGCAAAUACUACACCAUUUUAUAAAAGAGACUUAAGCAUGGGUGGAUUUGGGUAUCUGCGGGGGUCCUGGAACCAAUUACCUAGGGAUACCGAGGGCCCACUUUACCUGCCUUGACAUCCCUUUCCCAGGGAAAGUGAAAUGAUCAGAGCGAGAAAAUGCAAAUCAUUUUCCAAAUGUAAUUUUGUUGUUGUUCUUACCGCUGCUUAUAAUUAAAAAAAAAAAAAGAUUUGCUCAGCUCGAUCACUGUGCACGGUGCAAAAAAUCAACUUUGGUGCCAUUCAGCAAAUCAUACCCCCACGUCCCGCCUUUAUUUUCCUUUUUUGCAGCCCGGUUCCUCUCUUCUGCUCACUCAUACCCGCCCACCCCGCUUUUGUAGCUUGCUUGUUCAUAUCUGAACUUGGGUAUCCAAAGACACUGCUUGACUU
rnacentral:lncRNA from 1 species